rnacentral:rRNA from 1 species
UACGUAGGGUGCAGGCGUUAAUCGGAAUUACUGGGCGUAAAGCGUGCGCAGGCGGUUUCUUAGGUCAGAUGUGAAAGCCCCGGGCUUAACCUGGGAACUGCGUUUGAAACUGGGAGACUUGAGUGUGGCAGAGGGGGGUGGAAUUCCACGUGUAGCAGUGAAAUGCGUAGAUAUGUGGAGGAACACCAAUGGCGAAGGCAGCCCCCUGGGUUAACACUGACGCUCAUGCACGAAAGCGUGGGGAGCAAACAGG